UAGGGAAUCUUCGGCAAUGGGGGGAACCCUGACCGAGCAACGCCGCGUGAGUGAAGAAGGUUUUCGGAUCGUAAAGCUCUGUUGUUAAGGAAGAACGAGUGUGAGAAUGGAAAGUUCAUACUGUGACGGUACUUAACCAGAAAGGGACGGCUAACUACGUGCCAGCAGCCGCGGUAAUACGUAGGUCCCGAGCGUUGUCCGGAUUUAUUGGGCGUAAAGCGAGCGCAGGCGGUUAGAUAAGUCUGAAGUUAAAGGCAGUGGCUCAACCAUUGUAGGCUUUGGAAACUGUUUAACUUGAGUGCAGAAGGGGAGAGUGGAAUUCCAUGUGUAGCGGUGAAAUGCGUAGACAUAUGGAGGAACACCGGUGGCGAAAGCGGCUCUCUGGUCUGUAACUGACGCUGAGGCUCGAAAGCGUGGGGAGCGAACAGG
rnacentral:rRNA from 1 species